rnacentral:lncRNA from 1 species
GGCAGCAGCCCUUCCUUUCUGGCUCUAGCCUCCAGUUCUCCAGUGUUCACAGGUGAACCCACCAACAGUCACAGCUCAUGAUGGAGGCCAUCAAGAAAAAAAUGCAGAUGCUGAAGUUAGACAAAGAGAAUGUCCUGGACCGAGCUGAGCAAGCUGAAGCUGAGCAGAAGCAGGCAGAAGAAAGAAGCAAACAGCUAGAGGAUGAACUAGCAACCAUGCAGAAGAAGCUGAAAGGGACAGAGGAUGAGCUGGACAAGUAUUCUGAGGCUUUAAAGGAUGCCCAGGAGAAGCUGGAGCUAGCAGAGAAGAAGGCAGCGGAUGCUGAAGCUGAGGUGGCCUCCUUGAACCGCAGGAUCCAGCUGGUUGAAGAGGAGCUGGACCGCGCCCAGGAGCGCCUUGCCACUGCUUUGCAGAAGCUGGAGGAAGCGGAGAAGGCUGCUGAUGAGAGUGAGAGAGGUAUGAAGGUGAUUGAAAACCGGGCUCUAAAAGAUGAAGAAAAGAUGGAGCUCCAGGAAAUCCAGCUGAAGGAAGCAAAGCACAUUGCAGAAGAGGCAGACAGGAAGUAUGAAGAGGUGGCUCGUAAGUUGGUGAUUAUUGAAGGAGACUUGGAACGCACGGAGGAACGCGCCGAGCUGGCAGAGUCCCGUUGCCGAGAGAUGGAUGAGCAGAUCAGACUGAUGGACCAGAACCUGAAGUGUCUGAGUGCUGCUGAAGAAAAGUACUCUCAAAAAGAAGACAAGUAUGAAGAAGAAAUAAAGAUUCUUACUGAUAAACUCAAGGAGGCGGAGACCCGGGCUGAGUUUGCUGAAAGAUCGGUAGCCAAACUGGAAAAGACCAUUGAUGACUUGGAAGAUGAGCUCUAUGCCCAGAAACUGAAGUACAAGGCCAUUAGCGACGAGCUGGACCACGCCCUCAAUGACAUGACCUCUAUAUAAGCUGAAGUGCACCAAAGAGGAGCAUCUCUGUACACAAAGGAUGCUGGACCAGACCCUGCUGGACCUGAACGAGAUGUAGACCUUCCCCAUCCCUGCCCUGCCCUGCGGCCG